rnacentral:tRNA from 1 species
AGAUGUAGCUCAGUGGUAGAGCACCUGCCCAACAUGUGUGAGGCCCUGGGUUCCAUCCCCAGUACUA